AAUCUUGCGCAAUGGCCGAAAGGCUGACGCAGCGACGCCGCGUGUGGGAUGAAGCCCUUCGGGGUGUAAACCACUGUUGCCCGGGACGAACGGGCGGAUUCAUCCGCCGUGACGGUACCGGGUGAGGAAGCACCGGCUAACUCCGUGCCAGCAGCCGCGGUAAUACGGAGGGUGCGAGCGUUGUCCGGAAUCACUGGGCGUAAAGGGCGCGUAGGCGGCUCGGUAAGCGUGUGGUGAAAGCUCGGGGCUCAACCCCGAGUCUGCCGUGCGAACUGCCGGGCUGGAGCACUGUAGAGGCAGGUGGAAUUCCGGGUGUAGCGGUGGAAUGCGUAGAGAUCCGGAAGAACACCGGUGGCGAAGGCGGCCUGCUGGGCAGUUGCUGACGCUGAGGCGCGACAGCGUGGGGAGCAAACAGG
rnacentral:rRNA from 1 species